UACGUAGGCAGCAAGCGUUUGUUCGGAGUUACUGGGCGUAAAGGGUGUGUAGGCGGUUUUUUAAGUUUGGUGUGAAAUCUCCCGGCUCAACUGGGAGGGUGCGCCGAAUACUGAAAGACUAGAGUGCGGGAGAGGAAAGUGGAAUUCCUGGUGUAGCGGUGAAAUGCGUAGAUAUCAGGAGGAACACCGGUGGUGUAGACGGCUUUCUGGACCGUAACUGACGCUGAGACACGAAAGCGUGGGUAGCAAACAGG
rnacentral:rRNA from 1 species